UGUCGCCUAUUUGGGACUGGGGACCACCAGCGAUGGAUAAGCUAGGAGGUAAUCUAAAAUGUUCUUCAAAGGCUAUACACAUUGCUUACAGAAACCUGUAAGGAUGUGGGGAAAGUUAACUAAGACCCAUAAACAGUCUGACCUAUUUACCGAGUCCAUUUGGUCAGACUCGUCACAAGACAGAACAAGUAUUUUAUGAGGUAGGUAGGCUAGGUGUGUCAGACCUGCUUUUAUUAGUUGUGGGUUUUUUGCCAGAAUAAAUACACAUAUACUCACAAUGUCGAACCAGCGCUAACAGCAGGAAGAGGGAUCCUGCAGCUGAGGAGCAGGCAUAGCCCGGCGGACAGAACCGGCAUCUCGCCAUGGCCACCGCGCGCUUCCCCGGGAAGGGUGUGGACGUGGCUGCCGCCAACUGGACAGCUCCAGCGCUGGGCCGGCCGGUGUGUGUCAACGGGACGCCGUGGAUCCUUUACCUCCUGGAGGAGUGUGUGGAUAAUGUGUGGGAGUACUGCAGCGUGGUUAUAGGACUCGUAUCCAUGUUCUGUUUUCUGCUGUCUACUCUGCCGCAGGUCUAUGAGGCCUAUCGGAACGGUAAAGUGGAGGAGGGCAUGUCUUUUGGCUUUCUUUUCUUUCUCUUCAGUGGAGACUUGACCAGCUUUGCAGGCUGCUACCUCACCAGCCAGCUGCCUAUUCAGGUAGUCACAGUGGUGUUCUACAUCUUCACAGACCUGAUCCUCAUCUCACAGUUUAUCUACUAUAAGAUCAAAAACAACUCCAGCAGAAAAAGCCCUGUGUUGAAGUGGCUGUGCUUCAUGUGGUGUGGCGCUGCUACCUUAGUUCUCCUGGCUUUACCCAAACUCAUCAUUGACAACAGUUCAACUUUAGACACCAAGAGUCCAACUACCUCUAAUUCAGUUGAAAUCACUGGCUAUAUAUGUGGAUACCUGGCAUCCAUCUUCUACCUCUGCUCCCGUUUUCCCCAGCUCUAUAAAAAUUUCCAGCGUCAGUCUACAGAGGGCACCUCUUACCUUUUGUUUGCCCUGGCCAUGAUGGGCAAUGGGACGUAUGGGUUGAGCGUCAUCGUGGUCCUGCCUGCACUGAAGGGCUCCAAACAGACCUUCAUCUUCAAACAUCUGGCCUGGCUCAUUGGCAGCCUGGGAGUCCUCAUACUUGACUUCUUUGUGACUGCCCAGUUCAUUGUGUACAGGAAAAAAAACUCUGCUAAAAGCAGCACACUACUCAGUGUCCCAGAAGUGGAGCCUCUACUGUGCGAGGAAGUGGAACUGUCCCUGUUGUAGGACACAGAAUGGACACUGCAAUGGACCGCUCAGUCUAUGGUUUGUUUUGUAAACAUACCGUGGAUUCUCUGUGGUUAUUGACUUACUCAUAACAACUUUAGAGAACAAGGACAUUUUAGAAGCAUUCCAGAAGGUACUAGCAGCCUUGUUGUAAUACCAGCAAACAGUUCCAGUCCAUCUUGACAGUCUGAUUUUCUGCUGUUAAGAGGACAAACAUGAUCCACUCUUGUAUGGUUUACUGUGGUAAUAGGACAGGGAAAGCUACAGAAAACAUCUGGUCAAUACAUUUUUCUUAGCACACUUUAUUGUUUUGCAGAGUAGUUGUCUGUAUCUGCGGCCAUGUGUCAAAGUUUCUCUAUAGGUAGGCGAGUUACGAUCAACUACAUGUUUUGUAAUGGUUAUAAAUACUGUAAUUUUUUAUA